CCUGAUCGACCCUCUGAGCAUGCCAGCUCACCCCAUCCUGGAGGGAGAAACCAGAGUGUCCGAUGUCAUUAACGCUAAUGAAUCUGAGGCCACUAGCGCCGAGGCAAAGUUCGACUCGCCCAGCAAGCUUAGACACCCUCGACUGUCCAUCAGCGACACAGACAUCAAGGAGGAGAUGAAAACCUCUUGUUACACAGAAGAACAUGGGAAAUGGACAAUGACCACCUCCAGGCUGUGUAAGGUCUAUUUGACAAAGAAGGAGAGUGAUGCAUCAGAUGACCUGGCCUCCACAAUCACGCGACCUCAACCCAAUUGAAUUGGUUUGGGAUGAGUUGGACCGCAGAGUGACGGUAAAGCAGCCAGCAAGUGCUCAGCAUAUGUGGGAUCUCCUUCAAGAUGGUUGGAAAAGCAUUCCAGGUGAAGCUGGUUGAGAAAAUGUCAAGAGUGUGCAAAGCUGUCAUCAAGGCAAAGGGUGGCUACUUUGAAGAGUCUAAAAUAUA
ensembl:lncRNA